ACACCUGAGAGUUAGGACAAUGAAACUGAGCAGGUACAAUUCCCAGAGUCAGAGCCCUACAUUCGAAUUCCCUCUCUGCCUCCCGCCUGCUGCCUGAACGUGUCCAGUCACGUCCUCUCCCCGGGGCUUGUGAAUGGGGUCGUUUGGAUGCCAUGAUCUCUAAAAACUCUUCCGAUCCUGAAGCCCCUGGGAUUUCAGAGUCAAGUCUAGGGUCCUGACCUGAAUUGGACACUGAUCCCUCCGGUCCGGGCGUGUCUGCCUGAGAGCUGCUUAGUCGAGCCACUAGAGGUUCAAGGACCGAAGGCCUUUCCCGGAGCGUUCGGUUUUGGUCACAAUCUGCGUGUCACCUUGGGAACGCGUCACGUCUGCAGAUAAAAUCCACCUUGAAUAAGGGAGUGAACAGAAAUUUGAGAAUCCCUAGGCCACUUUUUAGGAUCCUUCUGGCUAAAGCCGUCUGGAAUUCAGAGGUCUGGAGGCUCCUGUCCAAGAUCAGGGCGCCAGCACGGUGAGGUUCUGUGAGAACCAGCUUCGGAGCUGCAGACUACGAUGUCUCACUGCGUCCUCAUGUCAGAGAGAGGCCGAGGAGGCUCUGUGGGGUGCCCUUUAUAAGUGUUCUCAUUCCAUUCAUGAGGGCUCCACCCUCACGAGCUAAUCAUGCCCUGGAGACCUCACACCAUCACAGUGGAGCCUGUACCAUAAAUUCCUGGGUGAGACCACCUCUCUCUCUGGAUGAACUACCAUGAUUCACUGUGCAAACCAACAUCUAUUUCCCUUUUCUCCUAGACUGCCAGGAAGCUCAAAAUUAAAUGUCAUGUUUACUCACCAUUAA